rnacentral:misc_RNA from 1 species
AACGCACAUUGCGCCUGCCAGCAUUCUGGCAGGCAUGCCUGUCCGAGCGUCAUUUCCACCCUCAGCGCGCCCCCGGGCGCCGCUGGCGUUGGGGCUCCUCCGGCGAGGAGGGCCCCUAAAGCGAGUGGCGGGCCCGGCUGGUUGGCUCCGAGCGCAGUACUGAGCACACGCUCUUCCCCUCGCUCGCGGCCCCGGCCGGCGCCCUGCCGUCAACGCGCACUUUGACGUGCAGCGGCCCUCGGCCGCUCCAAUCUUCUUUGCAAGGUUGACCUCGGAUCAGGUAGGACUACCCGCUGAACUUAA